rnacentral:rRNA from 1 species
AUGCCAUUCAGACAAGCCAAGGCAUCUCUCAUCAUGCUUGUCUCAUGGACUAUUUGGAACGAGCGAAACGCGGGAGUGUUCAAGCAGAAGAGCGCGCCACCGACUGCAUUGCUUGCCUCCAUCACGACCGAGGCUAGCCUCUGGAUCAUCGCUGGUGCAAAAAAACUAAGGUCAAUAAUAUUGCGAGAGUAA